rnacentral:snoRNA from 1 species
UUCCACAGCUACUGGUCUACAGCUGCUCUUGGUAGUGGCAGCUGUGGCAUUCCUCUGUGGGAAAGAAACUGUUAACACGAUGAAACACCUCUUUCUUAGCAAAACAGAAAGUAGGUUUGUGUGUGUGACGGACACAA